rnacentral:lncRNA from 10 species
AGUGUGUGGAAGCUGUCGUGGAGGUGACCGUGGGGGGAUGAGAAAAGGGGAAGGAAGGAACAGACAGCACCAGAGGGACUUGAACAAAGGGAGAAGGGGGAUUAAAGUCAAAUCACUGUCAGCAGCCCAGGAGCAGACAAAACCACCAGAGUAAGCCCUGAAAUGGAAAUGAGAGGGAAAAGAAGCAAGCCGCUAACAGCUACCAAGAAGAGGAGGAAGUGGGAGAUGCGCUGCUUCCUGUAGAAAGAACGUUGAUUGAAGACAAAGCUGGGUGGGGACUAGUCCCUGGGCUGCAGCCGCUGCUACACAUACUCACAACGCUGCCGCCGCGCUCCGUGGGCAACUCCUACUACUGCUGGGCUGGGCUGGGCUGGGCUGGGCUGCGCCGGAGCUCGCCUGCACAGAUCAGCUCCGGAGAGGGGAAAACCACGCUCCUCGGACCAAGCCUCGGGAGCUAAGCCAGAUCUGCCAGUGAGCCUCAGGCUUUAGGAACUGAAGAGUGUUUCUGAAAGAUCUAUCCAGCACUCCGAUGGCCAGCAACAACACCGCCAGCAUAGCACAAGCCAGGAAGCUGGUAGAGCAGCUUAAGAUGGAA